CGCCCGGUCGUACUCAUAACC
rnacentral:snRNA from 1 species